CAGUUUGUGACGAUGGCAAGAAACUAAGAAGUCCAGGAUCUGUUUGCAAUCACUUCCAAGCAAAUAAGUAUUUACUCAAGGUAAUGAAUGGAAUCAUUCAUGAUGAGGUGGCAUAGCCAGCCAGUGGGCAGGCUGUCCAUCACUGCUACACUGACUGAUGUGAGCAGCAGUAAAGCACUGCAUACAGUUACCUGGAAGAUCCUCAGCCUCUGGACUUUCUGGAGAAUGGGAUACCUUUUCAGAAGCAUCAACUGAGUGGAUUUGGAGGAGCCUUCAUUUGACUCAGAAGAUGCAGAGAAAACUCUCAUGCUUCUAAAGGUGAAACUGAAAGAACUGAAUGGUAGUAUAAAAUUUUCCAAAGUUGUGUUUUCACAGCAGUGGUUGCAAAAGGAACUAAUUUCAAGGGAAGCAACUGAGCUAUCAUCUCCUCUGUGGAGCAGUUUGGAGGGAACCGUGUUCAAGCAGCACCAGCUCAAGUUUCUUGCUACCUAUCUCAGAAACAACUCAGGUCUGGCAUUUUAUAAGCUGUGAAAAGAUGGAAAAAUCUUGUCGACUUGUCAGUUAAGAAGACCUGCUAAUCAGCUGCAUCAAGCUGCAAGUUCAAAACUGCUUCAGUUUUUCCAGUUUUAAGACUCCAUUUGGGAGCUUCUUCUAGAGCUGAACACAGGUUAAUGAAAACUAGAGCUCUGCUUAUCGCAGCUGGGAAAGGCAUGUGCACAUGACUGGUCUUACUGUCUUUGGAAAGAAAAAGGAAAACAGUUCAUUUGGAGCUUCAGUAGACUAGAAAUUUUCUGUUCUAGUGGUUCCAAGUUAUAAAUGCCAUCCUUCUGCUGGUCUUCCUCUUGUGCUGUUUGCAGUGUAAAUGUUAGCAAAGAUAUCUGGCUGCAAUGAAACAGUGCAGAAAGAGUAGGUAGUUUCAGACAAGGAUAGGUGUGUUUGGUUCUGUCACUAAUGCCUUAAGCAAAGGCUUUUUAUUUUUGGCCAGACAGGAGGUAGAACUUCCUUUGAUACUCUUGUAUUUUAGACAUUAAGAUUUAAAAUUUGAGACAUUAAGAAGAAUGCAGAUUCUUUGCUUUGUUUUAGAUUUUGGUUUUUGUUUUCAAAUACCUCAGCAUUUUCAUCUUUGCCUGACUUCAUGUAAUAGUUAAGCAUGGGUGUCUUCAGACAAAGCUUUGAAAACCUGUACUUGUAGGUCUAUACUAAAGGGCUUUAGUGCAAAUUUUAUCUCCCAAGAAACCAGCCUACCACAGCCUUGCUCCUAAGAGUUACAGAACUAGCAUACAGGAUUCUUAAGCAGCUGUUACGUGCAACAAUGUAGAACGCUGUGCGUUUGUCUCAUCUUUAGCCUUCCAGGAGCGAGUAGAGAAAAGUAGACAACUUCGGCUCCAGACAUACCACACAUCGAUAGGCCCAAGUACAGGUUGUCCAAGCAAUGAGUGCUGAGGAUCAUACUGGAGUAAAUACACAGCCAGAAUCACAAUGGGGUCUGAAGGUGUGGGCCUGCUGUGGCACAGUGACUGGCCACAGGCUGUGACUACCAGAGGAACUCUGUAAGAAGCAUGAGGUCAAAAGGUUAGGGUCGCCAGAAGUUUAGCCACUCUUCCAAGAGUUUAUCAGGUUUCCUCUCAUUGCUGACCAUCAUGACAGCAUAAUGGCCUGCCUUGAUGAGGAAUGGCUGUGAUGAGGAAUGGCUUCAUUCCCUGAAGGAAUGACUCUCAUGAAGUCCAACAAUGGCAAAUGCAAAGUCCUGUGACUAGAGCAGCAGUGAAGGCUGGCACAAUUAAUUGGCUAGGUGAUAGCUCUGCAGCAAAGGGCCUGCAAUAAGCAGAAAAUCAAGCGACUUGAGUAAUCCCACUACUUAGCAUUCAGGAAACCACACUUGGAGUACUCUGCCUAGUUUCAAACCCUUACACCACCCAACAGAACUGUCUAAAAAGUAUGAAGAGCACAGCUCAGAGAAUGCAAGGGGCCACAGCCCUGCACACGUGAUCUGACUUUGCUUAUCCAGAAAAAAAAAAGGGGGGUGGGGAUCCCAGAAACAAAGCAAGAUUCUUCUCAGAAGUGUAGGGUUGAAGCACAAGAUUUGAUGGCCACAAGUUAAAAUAAUGGAAAUGCAUCAUGACCAGCACUGAUGGAAGGAACAUUUUUUACCUCAGCUCUAAGCAUUGGGACAGAUUGCCCAGGCAGGCUGUGGCAUCCAUUCUCAUCCUUGGACAUUUUCAGUGCUCAGUUGGAAAACAGCCUGAGCAGUCUGAUCUAACUUUGAAGUAAGCAUGGCUUUCAGGUCCCUUCUGACCUAAAUUGCUCUGACUGCUGAAUCAAUCAGCCACCAGCUGAACGUCUCAACCACCAGCAUGCUGAGCCCAGGCUGGCUGCCAGCUGAGAGGUACAAACCAAGGGCUGUAGGCUCAGAAGCCUUCCUGAAGAUGCUAGAUGUGGUGAGCCAGAUAUAAUAUGGUUGUCUGCCUCUGGAAAUUGUGGACAGGCAGCUUGGUCAUGCCAGGAGUGUUGAACCAAGUGCCUUUACCAAAUGGCAUUGAUCUGGACAGAAACACUGCCAGUUUCCAACUCCAGUUUUUGCAGAUACUUAGACUACCUGCAUAGCAGUAGCUCACAUUAUGCAAUUUGAGAGGAUAAGAAAAUCCAGAUGCACUUCAGCUGGCAGAGAUUUGAGGAGGAGAAACAAGAGGUGGCAAUUACUGCUGAAUUGAAGCAGAAGUUAAUACCUCUGACUGUAUAUAUUGCAUGGUAUUUCAGCAAGUGUCACACAAGACAAGCUUCUGUGCAGGUAGGAAUAGAUGCUGUGCAAGUGCUGUGCCAAGCUGCCCUCCAGCUAUGCUGCAGCGUGAAGAAGUCAUUUUGCUGAAGAAAACAUUAGCUUAGAGCUUGACCUGGAAUGAAUGUCUAGUAGAUCUUAUGGCAAGGUCUUCUCCCUUUUACAGAUCUCAAAGAUGACAGUAACACAUAUUUACUUUUUGGUUUUGUACAUGCCAAGAACAUGAUUGCAUUACCACUUACCUGAUUAUAACUUUUCACUUCAAAUGUGUGGUGGGUGUGCCAGCAAUUUUACUAGGGGGUGAAAUGAAAGGCAAAGUACAAAGGCUGAAUGCCUCAUCGCUUCUGGAUAAAACUAUUCAAAGGAGAAUAACAGCAGGAAGGUGAAUGCCAUCUUCAAAGUAAGAACAUCUUUUUCAGUUAUUCUCAUAUAGCUCUGGACAUCUGCAUGGGAGUGAAGAGAUUUCAUUUCCUGUGGUAAAAUGACUUAAAAUAAGCAUAUCAAAGAGCAAAAGUAGGAGGAGCAAGAAGUUUCAGACUGCUAACCACAGUCAGUGCUAUGAAGCACCUGUAGUAGUCAUUUAAAGUAAACUAUGAAUAGAACAUGAUUUUUUUUUUUAAUUAAGAUCUCAAAAUAUCCAUACUCUAAUAAAAAUUAAAUUCAUGAGCAUAUAAAGAAAAAAAGUGUGAUUUGAUCUUUCAAAUUUUAUGGCCUGGAUGUGAGACGGAAAACAGUCCUAAAAUAGAGCUUUAAAAAGAUAAUAUAUGCAUAUUAGUAUAAGAAGGAGAAACACUACUACUUGGCUUUCUUUGCUGCCAACAAAGACAGCGAUUGGGAUCUCUCAAAGGAGUUGUAAUGCAGAGCUGGAAAUCUGGCCAAAACAUAGCCCCCCUCAUGAAGACUGGAUGACUGUUUCCUCCCUUUUUGGAAUGGUCUUGGUUACCUAUUGAAAAAUUAAUAACAGAGUGCAGAGAUAGUGAUGAUUAAGGAUACAUGCUUUCAUCCCUGCAAUGUAGCAAGUGGUGACAGCACAAUGAUUCAAUGAGAUAGAGUGAGCCAAGAAUCAUUAGAGAAAAAAAGGUGAAAAGUGAAGUUUUGUUUUCCUUGAAUGAAACAGCAUUUUAUUUUUGCUAUGAGCUUAUCUGGGUUUUCUACACCAAAGUUACAUUUUGUAAGGGAAAUGUUGGUUUACUCAACAAACAUUUUUUAUGAUAAAUGUUUUCUAACAGAUAUUUUUAACCAGAAAACAAGCUCUUUUUUUUUCCUUUUUUUUUUCCUUCUUCUUUUUUCUUUUUCCUUAACUAGAACUGAUUUUCACCUAUAUUGAAGGUUGCUGCAGAGAGAAUGGGGAUCUUCUUCCCUCCAUGUCUUUCAUGAGUGAACUCAAACAGCAGGGAAAAAACAAGCGAAAAUUAGGAAAUGCUGUCUACUGUAAUGUGUGCAGUCUCUCACACUGCAAGUCUUUAAUAAUACAUUUGACAAAUCUGCGUCACAAGUGAUAUGGUUGAUUUUGCCUUUGGACAAAAGAUGGCAUAAAAGCCUUCUCAAAAUUGUUUCCAGCCUUAUUUUUCAAUUCUUUAAUUAUAUUCUAGUGUGAAUCUGAGCUUGCCCUGACCCGUAGGCUGAUAAUGAAACCCAGUCAAUGUUCAUUGCAAAUCACUUGUGGUUUUGCACAUCUGCUGGCAUCAGUAGAUAAUAGCUCUUUCUUUAUUUUGAAUGUUCAAAGUUACAUUUGGGAACUGCUAGUAUCUGGUCAUUUAGAACAAACAUAAAACUACUUCAAAAGCAACCAUUACCAUAAAAUUUCUAUUUCAG
ensembl:lncRNA